UGAGCCCCUGAAAUCAACGAUUCAUUUUAUUUAUUUUCUGUAAAAAUAAAAAAGAAAAAUAUUACAAAGUGAAUAAUUGGACGGAAGAUUUUUUUCAGAAUUUUGAAGUUAUUUAUCACGAGGAAAAUUAACACUAGAGAAGAAAAUAUAUUUUUUAAAGAAAUGUACAUUUUUCGAAAUAUUAUUCGAAUAGAGGAAUUUUGUAAAAUAAAUUUAUCUGUUUUGAAGAAAAUCGAUGUAAGGAAGAUUAUUGAUCUUCGAAUAGAAAAAUUGCGUAGAUUUAAUUUGUUGUGCAUUUAAAGUAUAGCGUGUUCGUACGAGGAUUUUAAUAUACUUCGAUGUUCAUAUUUUUGAUAGAGAAUUAUUUUGUUACUGCAGAUAAUUUUUAAUUUCAGACAUUUGUAGGUAAAUAAUCAAAUCUGUCGUGUCUGUUUCGUACAGAGAUACCAUCGACAUUAUGAUCGUCAAAGAUCAUAAAGCGAGACGAUUCUUUAAAUAAAACGGCCGAAGUUGAUCAAAUGCAACUUUGCUGAUCGCACUUACGAAUCUGUCGAGCAGAUAGCUCGCUGGAAAGAUGAACGGAAUGUAAGUUAUCAUGUAGAUCAUGCUAGUCAU